rnacentral:rRNA from 1 species
UACGGAGGAUGCGAGCGUUAUCCGGAUUUAUUGGGUUUAAAGGGUGCGUAGGCGGAUUGAUAAGUUAGAGGUGAAAUGUCCGAGCUCAACUCGAGAACUGCCUCUAAUACUGUUGAUCUAGAGAGUAGAUGCGGUAGGCGGAAUGUAUGGUGUAGCGGUGAAAUGCUUAGAGAUCAUACAGAACACCGAUUGCGAAGGCAGCUUACCAAUCUAUAUCUGACGUUGAGGCACGAAAGCGUGGGGAGCAAACAGG